rnacentral:rRNA from 1 species
AAUUUUGGACAAUGGGGGAAACCCUGAUCCAGCCAUCCCGCGUGUAUGAUGAAGGCCUUCGGGUUGUAAAGUACUGUUGGCAGAGAAGAAAAGGUAUCUCCUAAUACGAGAUACUGCUGACGGUAUCUGCAGAAUAAGCAACGCCUAACUACGUGCCAGCAGUCCCGGUAAUACGGAGGGUUCAAGCGUUAAUGGGAAUUACUGGGCGUAAAGCGUGUGUAGGCGGUUCGGAAAGAAAGAAGUGAAAACCCAGGGCUCAACCUUGGAACUGCAUUUUUAACUGCCGAGCUAGAGUAUGUCAGAGGGGGGUAGAAUUCCACGUGUAGCAGUGAAAUGCGUAGAUAUGUGGAGGAAUACCGAUGGCGAAGGCAGCCCCCUGGGAUAAUACUGACGCUCAGACACGAAAGCGUGGGGAGCAAACAGG